rnacentral:rRNA from 1 species
UACGUAGGGACCAAGCGUUGUCCGGAAUCAUUGGGCGUAAAGAGCGUGUAGGCGGCUUGUUAAGUCUUGCGUGGAAUCUCGGGGCUCAACCCCGAGCGGUCGUGAGAAACUGGCAGGCUAGAGUGCGGGAGAGGAGAGUGGAAUUCCUGGUGUAGCGGUGAAAUGCGCAGAUAUCAGGAAGAACACCCGUGGCGAAGGCGGCUCUCUGGAACGCAACUGACGCUGAGACGCGAAAGCGUGGGGAGCAAACAGG